rnacentral:misc_RNA from 1 species
GCAAAGUUGAGUAUGAUCCCUGUCUCCUGCUUACUAGAAGUUUCCUUUGACAAGAUCCGCUAUUCAAGGGAUACAAAGCUGAGCAUUGUUGUGGUACUCCUAGGGGUUGCUGUAUGUACAGUUACGGACGUGAGUGUUAAUACCAAAGGCUUCAUUGCUGCCUUUGUAGCUGUAUGGAGCACUGCUCUACAACAGUAUUAUGUUCAUUACCUUCAAAGGAAAUACUCCCUUAGUUCUUUCAAUUUGCUGGGACAUACUGCACCAGUUCAGGCUGGAAGUCUGCUGCUAUUAGGUCCGCUUGUGGAUUAUUGGUUGACCAACAAGAGGAUUGAUCACUUUGACUUCACAUUUUCAUCAUCGGCAUUCAUCAUUCUUUCAUGCACUAUAGCAAUAGGCACCAAUCUCAGCCAGUUCAUAUGCAUUGGAAGAUUCACUGCUGUUUCAUUCCAAGUUAUCGGUCAUAUGAAAACAAUACUCGUUUUGGUACUGGGAUUCUUGUUCUUUGGGAAAGAAGGUCUCAACAUACAAGUGGUAGUUGGCAUGCUCAUAGCAGUUUGCGGAAUGAUCUGGUAUGGAAAUGCCUCAUCUAAACCUGGUGGGAAAGAGCGUCGUAGCCAUUCAAUCAAGCAUGGAUCAGAUUCGUCACAAGCCGAUGAUAAGGUGUAAGAUUUUCUAGCAUUGAAGCUGAAACAGAAAAGAUAAGCAAAAAAACAAAAAAACAGAACCUUUUAUAGUCAGCUGACUCUACAUACACAGCUCCUUCGAUCGAAUUAGAUUUUUCUUUAUCUUAUAAUUCAUCUUUUUGAUAAUAUAACAUUAGUAAGAAAAGAUUGAGACUUGGGUAUAGAGCUUGGUUUCUUUCGUUCUCCU